GAUGAAGAACGUAGCUAAAUGCGAUAAGUAAUGUGAAUUGCAGAAUUCAGUGAAUCAUCGAAUCUUUGAACGCACCUUGCGCCUUUUGGUAUUCCGAAAGGCACACCUGUUUGAGCGUCAUGAAUACCUCAAUCUCCAUCUUUUCUUCGGAUUGAUGGGUGACUUGGAUGUUGAGCCCUGCUGGUAUGCUAUAUCAGCUGGCUUUAAACUUAUUAGCCGGCUCUGUACUGGAUCGGUUUGACUCGACGUGAUAAUAUUAUCGUUGAGGAUGCAUGUCUCAUGCAGCCGGAAAGUAUCAAAGCAGCUUCUAGCUUGCCUUUAGUGCACUUUUACAUUUUAGACCUCAGAUCAGGUGGGACUACCCGCUGAACUUAAGCAUAUCAAUAAGCGGAGGA
rnacentral:misc_RNA from 1 species